rnacentral:rRNA from 1 species
UUUGGAAUUUUGGACAAUGGACGAAAGUCUGAUCCAGCGACGCCGCGUGGACGAUGAAGGCCUUCGGGUUGUAAAGUCCUUUUGCUCGGGAACAAUUUUUGAGCGUACCGAGAGAAUAAGAGGUUGCUAACUCUGUG